rnacentral:ncRNA from 1 species
GCAAUUGCUAUGAUAGGGAAGAGUAUAUUGUAUCCUGCUUUCAGAGAGGGGAAUCAAAGCUGGAAGAUUUCCUAAGCAAGGACAAUGGAAUGUCGCCCUUGAGCAGCUUCCGCGAACUUGAUCAUGUAACGGAAGCCGGUGAAGAGCCGUUAUCGAUAUUAGAGAGCCGGAUUUAUGUUCAUUCCUUUAUCCGGAAAAAAGGUGGUACCGCGAAACAAAACCCUUCGUCCUUUUU